rfam:Danio rerio chromosome 3, GRCz11 reference primary assembly.
GCCGUGAUCGUAUAGUGGUUAGUACUCUGCGUUGUGGCUGCAGCAACCCCAGUUCGAAUCCGGGUCACGGCA